rnacentral:rRNA from 1 species
UACGAAGGGGGCUAGCGUUGUUCGGAUUUACUGGGCGUAAAGCGCACGUAGGCGGAUUGGUCAGUUAGGGGUGAAAUCCUGGAGCUCAACUCCAGAACUGCCUUUAAUACUGCCAGUCUCGAGUCCGGAAGAGGUAAGUGGAACUCCUAGUGUAGAGGUGGAAUUCGUAGAUAUUAGGAAGAACACCAGUGGCGAAGGCGGCUUACUGGUCCGGUACUGACGCUGAGGCGCGAAAGCGUGGGGAGCAAACAGG